rnacentral:rRNA from 1 species
AAGGUAGCGCAGUCAAUUGUCCUUUAAUUGGGGAAAGGAAUGAAAGGGUUGACGAGGGGUGAGCUGUCUUUAUAGUAUAGUUUGAAGUUUUCUUUUACGUGAAAAGACUUAAAUUUAAAAAUAAGAAGAGAAGACCCCGGCGAGCUUGGUAAGGGUUAUUAAACUAAAAUAAUUAUUGAGGUUUGUUGGGGCAACGCAAAGGGAAAAUAACUCCUUUGAACGUGAUAAAGAUCCACUUAGAGUGAAUAAAGCAAAAGCUACCGCGGGGAUAACAGCGCAAUUUUUUCAGAGAGUUCAUAUCGAAGAGAAUGUUUGCGACCU